rnacentral:rRNA from 1 species
GAUGAACGCUAGCGGCAGGCCUAACACAUGCAAGUCGAGGGGUAGCAGGAUUAAGCUUGCUUAAUUGCUGACGACCGGCGCACGGGUGCGUAACGCGUAUGCAACCUACCUUAUACUGGGGUAUAGCCCGGAGAAAUUCGGAUUAAUCCCCCAUAGUACUAAUGAAUCGCAUGGUUUAUUAGUUAAAGCAUUGCGGUAUAAGAUGGGCAUGCGUCCUAUUAGCUAGAUGGUGAGGUAACGGCUCACCAUGGCUACGAUAGGUAGGGGGCCUGAGAGGGUGGUACCCCACACUGGUACUGAGACACGGACCAGACUCCUACGGGAGGCAGCAGUGAGGAAUAUUGGUCAAUGGGCGCAAGCCUGAACCAGCCAUGCCGCGUGCAGGAAGAAUGCCCUAUGGGUUGUAAACUGCUUUUAUUUGGGAAUAAACCUCUUUACGUGUAGAGAGCUGAAGGUACCAAAUGAAUAAGCACCGGCUAACUCCGUGCCAGCAGCCGCAGUAA